GGGCACAUGGUGUAGUUGGUUAUCACGCUCGCUUAGCAUGUAUCGAAUACUGGAAUUUGCGAGAGGUGUUGGGUUCAAUUCCCAAUGUGUCCA